UACGUAGGGUGCGAGCGUUAAUCGGAAUUACUGGGCGUAAAGCGUGCGCAGGCGGUUCGUUGUGUCUGAUGUGAAAGCCCCGGGCUCAACCUGGGAAUGGCAUUGGAAACUGGCGAGCUAGAGUGUGGCAGAGGGGGGUGGAAUUCCGCGUGUAGCAGUGGAAUGCGCAGAUAUCAGGAAGAACACCCGUGGCGAAGGCGGCUCUCUGGGACGGUACUGACGCUGAGACGCGAAAGCGUGGGGAGCGAACAGG
rnacentral:rRNA from 1 species